CAGCCUUCCACUGGAAGUGCUCCUGCACAGCUCCUCCAAAGUCUCUUGCAGCCUCAUUUGAUGUAAAACUGUGCUUGUCUCCAGCUCUAUUGCAUGUGACGCGAAACUUUAACACCUUUGCAUCUCCUUCAUCUUUAUUAUCAUCUCCGGCCUUUGUCUCAGCUCCAGAACUGGCAUGCAGUUUGUUUUUAGCCUCUGACUGUUCAUUAUCAUCCUCCUCGUUUUGCGAGGCCUCUCCUUGCAUCUCUUCUGCGCUCUGGUCAGCAGCUGGCUCUGCUCCUGCUGUGUUUGGGGCACAGUCCUCCUGCCCGCCCGCAGCUCUGUGAUCCUUUUCCUCCUCUCCGCCAUCAUCCAGCUUUUCCUUGCUUGCAGUUCUCUGUAGAUUCUGUUUUUUGCGUUUUGUCUUUUUCUUUUUUAAGCUGUUGUUCAGCUCCCAAAUUUUCAAAGGAUCAGCCCAGGGCAGUUUUUUAACCAAAUCUUCCAAGUCUUUUAAAGCAUCUUCCUUGGUUUCUUUAAACUGAUAGUCUUUGAACUCCUCAACGACAACAAACAAAUUAUCCACGGACCUCAGCCGAUGGACCUCGGGCAGGCUGCGGGCCGGCACCUCGAAGUAGAUCUUUCCGCGGUCCCUGCUGAUCCGGGACGCGGAGCCGAGCUUCUCCUGCACCUCCGCGGCCGCCGUCACCUCGAACCCGGUGGGCACGGUGGCGCCAAUAACGGCCACGCGCUCCUCCGCCGCGCCAUCCCCGGCCGCCUCCGGCCCGGCCUCCCUCGCCUCCGCCAUGCCCAAACGCCGGCGCGCACCGCCCCCCGCCGAGCUUCCGCUUCCGCUUCCGGGCCGGAGCCGCGCGGCAGCGCCCCCUGCGGUCCGGCGGUGCGGCCGGGGUCGGCGCUCCGUGUCGCGCGGCGGCCCCGCGUGCGCAGCGGCGCGCUGCUGCCGUGCCCGGAGGGAGCGCUCGGGGCUCGCGUGGUUCCAGCGGCGGUUGAUGAGCGCGAGCACAGCCCGGCCCUGCGGGGCGGCCGCAGCGCUCCGUGCCCUUUGUUCCCCGCCGUCCGCUGGGACUGCCGCCUCGUGCCGCGCCCUGCGGCGCCGCGUGCCCUUGGCUUGGUGCGAGGCGUCGCCCGGCUGCCGCGCGAGCCGCGAGUGCGGGGCUGGGAGCGUCGUCGUUACCCCCGUUUAUUUUUAGCUUGAGAUUCGGGGCUGAAAGCUGGAAUGAAAAUGAGGGGAUUUGUGCCGUAAGCGGCGCGGAUGUGUUUACGUGGGAUGGCUGCUGCGGCGGCAGUGCGGCACUGGGCUGUGCUGGGCGGGGCUGUGCUGUGUGCGGCCGCUUUGGUCUCUCCUGAGAUUCGGUGCUUCGUCCGUGGGAGGGAGGCGCUGCGCUCGGCUGUUUGGCCGUCUCCGGCUCAAGCUGAACGUGGGCUCGAAACGCAGAGAUCAGCGGAGCAGCGAACUGAGAGCGGGGCGGGCACCGCCGGCGGAGGGGUGUCAGUGCUGUGCCACCGCUGCGGGUGUGAGCCUGGCAGGCGGCAAGCCGAGGAAAUUGCCUUGGAAGCCGUGUAAGGUGCUCAAAGGCUGCUCUACCGUUGGAACCAAAAUUAACUUUUUGGAAUGGUAAGUUAAUUUAGAAGGACAUAAAUAAAUUCAGGGCAUUGAAUUUCCAGUGAUGAAUUGUGAAGGUACAUCUGCGCCUCCCUUGCACGGGGAAACUUCUUGUAUUAAGUUGACUUCAGAGCUGGAGAAUUAACUUAGUGUGAGCCGGCGUGGUUUGUCAUUCAGUAACAGCGAUGUGCUGCGUAACCCCAGCCAGUGUGUGGUUUUGAAUGAGUUAAGGCUCUUUGGGCAAAGAACUGUGGUCUGUCUCAAAGAACUGCAUACAGCGGCACAGCUUGCGCCUCCUGCGGGAUGCCUGAGGUGGAGCCUGGUCUGAGUGAGGAGGGAGGCGCAGGUGGGGCUCCUUGGAGCAGCCCUUGUUUAAAGAUGACUUUGAGGAGCAGUGAGACCUGCAAAUAUUCGAGGCCAUUGUGGAAAACCUGCAGGGCGGGAGGAUCUGCUGUCCGUGAUGCAUUAUCAGAAGUAAUCCACAUUCAGGAAAACCUUUAAGCUGAGAUGGCUGAUCUUUGUCAGUGUGUGCGUUUUGCUUCAGACCAUCUUGACUUGUACUUUGAUCUGAGAAACAUCACAAUUACCAAAUCGUCUGCAUCACAGCAGAGCCCCACACCAGCUGCCGUUUUUCACUCCUUAUGAGUUGGUCACUCGGCCAAGAGAAAACCUCCCCGCAGUAGUGAUGAGCGGCCAGCGCUCCUGGGAUGUCCCUUGACCAAAGUGAAAACCAAUGCACUGCAGGCCACAGUGAAGCCCUCUGUAUGGAACCUGCACGUGGGCAGGAAAUCGCUGCAUUGUUUGCAUGGCUGUUAAGAGAAACGCCAAUGAAAUGAAUAUUCAUAUACUGCUAAAUGUUACUUAAAGUGGAUUCCCAAGGUAUUCGAGAGCUGUACAGAUUUUUAGAGACUUGUUCCUUUCAGCAGUUAGAAUGCAAAAAGAAAGGGUGGCUGAAGAGCUGUAGUCACAAGCUUCUCCCAGUGGCUGUUAGCACACGUCUCACAUGGAACGUCAGUGGUUGCUCCGUGGCUGCCAAUCACCUCUAGAAGCAAACUGGCCAAGGGGCACUGAUCCUUCUCUGUCAUUCUUUGCUGCUCCCAUUCCUUCUGCAGUGGCACCAAACCUGCCUGGCAUCCUACAAACAUUAACCUACAAACACCCACCUGCCAGACAGCAGUCAAGUUUGCAUGGAGAUAACUUUGUAAACAUACAUAUACAAGAAUAAGAAAGAAAGCAAAAAUGAAGGAGGCAGUUUAUAAUUUCAGAUUCUUCACAGCAUUUUAACCUCAGCUGUCUGACUGAUGUGCACCUCGGCAGCCUGUGCUGUAAGCUGCAAACCAGCCCUGGGCCCGUGGGCUUCAGCCCUGCUUGUUCUCCCUGCCGCCUGUGUGGGGAAAAGAGGCCAUGGAGCUCAGAGCACGCGUGCUGCUCCUGCCUGGAGCUCAGCUUGCUGGCUGGGAGUCCGCUUUGACAGCCAGCUAACGGAUUUUUCGCAGUGCCUGCUGAGCUGGUUUGGGGAAGGAGUGGCACACAUAAGCACAUUUGUUUCUUGUGAUAGGACACCCUGCAACAGGGUCUCUAAGUAAACAGGGGCAUCCACGUACCGUCUCUCAAAACCCAAGGCAUGCUUAUGCAACGCUCAGUCCAUCUGUUGUUGAGAUCAUCUUAAUGGCUGUGACGGCUCCCCUGCCUGCAGCGCGGCGGAAUGGAAGUCCCUCUGCAUAAAUUAUCACAAAGCAAACCCAGGCUCAGUACUGUGAGCAGAGGAGGUCGUUAAAUUCCGCAAUUAAUCUGCUGUGCCACUGUCAAGGCUUGCCUGUAUUUGUGAGAUGUUUUUUGCUAAUGAGGAAAGUUUGUCUCCUGAGGAAUUUUUAAUUGAGACAACAAAGCAUCAUCUGGUGGCUGCGGGGAGAAGCGGCUCCCAGUUCUGCUGGGUGACCCGACCUUCCAUCACCGGGCACGGCUCCUCCAUGGGCACCACGCAUAGCUGGGACAUGACCCGUUUUGGAGCUCCCUGCCUGCCUGCAGAUGGAGUUACGCUGCCUGUAGCCCUGUCUGCAGGCUCAGGGUUCACACAACUCCCUGUCCAUCUCUGAUUCUUCCCACAGGAGAGCACUCGGGUCUCUGCUGGUACAGGCCCAAGUGCUGCUGGAAUUGCAGGGACAAAGUGCAGUGCUGGUAGGUCCUCUCAGGCCCUGCUGGGCGGUCCGUGUGAAGCCAGGGCUCGCUUCACCCCAGCCCCAUGGAAAACCUCUACGAAGCACAUGCCGCACGGCUUUCUGCAGCCCACUGGUCCAGGUUGCUCCAAGCCCUAAAGAGAUCUCAGAGCAGCACAAAGUGUCCCCACACCCAUGCUGGAUGUGUGCCCAUUCACGUGGCAGGCCGUGGCUGCCCUGCCCCAGCUGGCUCCAGUUCCAUGGCACUUUGCCUUCAGGCUGCCCCACAGCCUCAGGCCAGGGCUGGGCAUUGCUGCUGCUUCCCCAGAGCAGGGCCUGAGCAUCCCUGGCUGCGUUCACUGUGGUGUGGGAGGGCACAUGUGCCAUGAGAUGUUGCCUCCUGCUGUGGGGCUGCCUUGGAGUGGCUUUUCA
rnacentral:lncRNA from 1 species